rnacentral:rRNA from 1 species
UAGUCCACGCCGUAAACGAUGAUAACUAGCUGUUCGGGCCCACAGGGCUUGAGUGGCGCAGCUAACGCAUUAAGUUAUCCGCCUGGGGAGUACGGUCGCAAGAUUAAAACUCAAAGGAAUUGACGGGGGCCUGCACAAGCGGUGGAGCAUGUGGUUUAAUUCGACGCAACGCGCAGAACCUUACCAGCUUUUGACAUCCUGGUCGCGGAUUUGGGAGACCAUUUCCUUCAGUUCGGCUGGACCAGUGACUGGUGCUGCAUGGCUGUCGUCAGCUCGUGUCGUGAGAUGUUGGGUUAAGUCCCGCAACGAGCGCAACCCUCAUCCUUAGUUGCCAGCAUUUAGUUGGGCACUCUAAGGAAACUGCCGGUGAUAAGCCGGAGGAAGGUGGGGAUGACGUCAAAUCAUCAUGGCCCUUACGCCCAGGGCGACACACGUGCUACAAUGGACGGUACAACGGGUAGCGAGCUUGCGAAAGUCAGCCAAUCCCUAAAAGCCGUUCUCAGUUCGG